KCCUAACACAUGCAAGUCGAACGGUGAAAGCAGAGCUUGCUCUGCUGGAUCAGUGGCGAACGGGUGAGUAACACGUGAGCAAUCUACCCUUCACUCUGGGAUAACACUUGGAAACAGGUGCUAAUACCGGAUACGACGCGCGAAGGCAUCUUCUGCGCGUAGAAAGAAUUUCGGUGAGGGAUGAGCUCGCGGCCUAUCAGCUAGUUGGUGAGGUAACGGCCCACCAAGGCGACGACGGGUAGCCGGCCUGAGAGGGUGACCGGCCACACUGGGACUGAGACACGGCCCAGACUCCUACGGGAGGCAGCAGUGGGGAAUAUUAGUAAUGGGCGAAAGCCUGAACUAGCAACGCCCGCGUGUGCGAAGAAGGCCUUCGGGUUGUAAAGCACUUUUUGAGAGGACGAGGAAGGACGGUACUCUCAGAAUAAGUCUCGGCUAACUACGUGCCAGCAGCCGCGGUAAUAC
rnacentral:rRNA from 1 species